rnacentral:rRNA from 1 species
UGGGGGCNACCCUGAUCCAGCCAUUCCGCGUGAGUGAAGAAGGCCUUCGGGUUGUAAAGCUCUUUCGGCAGGAACGAAACGGCGGGGGCUAAUAUCCCCUGUCAAUGACGGUACCUGAAGAAGAAGCACCGGCUAACUACGUGCCAGCAGCCGCGGUAAUACGUAGGGUGCGAGCGUUAAUCGGAAUUACUGGGCGUAAAGCGUGCGCAGGCGGUUCUAUAAGACAGAUGUGAAAUCCCCGGGCUUAACCUGGGAACUGCGUUUGUGACUGUAGGACUGGAGUGUGGCAGAGGAGCGCGGAAUUCC